rfam:Triticum aestivum genome assembly, contig: Triticum_aestivum_CS42_TGACv1_scaffold_220606_3B
UAACUACACCCUCUGUCCCAAAAUUCUUGUCUUAGAUUUGUCUAGAUACGGAUGUAUCUAAUACUCUAGAUACAGAUGUAUCUAAUACUAAAAUGUGACUUGAUACAUCCAUAUCUAGAUAAAUCUAAGACAAGAAUUUUGGGAUGGAGGGAGUACUUU